rnacentral:rRNA from 1 species
GAUGAACGCUAGCUACAGGCUUAACACAUGCAAGUCGAGGGGAAACGGCAUUAAGUGCUUGCACUUUUUGGACGUCGACCGGCGCACGGGUGAGUAACGCGUAUCCAACCUUCCCAUGACUAAGGGAUAACCUGCCGAAAGGCAGACUAAUACCUUAUGGUCUUCACUGACGGCAUCAGAUGUGAAGUAAAGAUUUAUCGGUUAUGGAUGGGGAUGCGUCUGAUUAGCUUGUUGGCGGGGUAACGGCCCACCAAGGCAACGAUCAGUAGGGGUUCUGAGAGGAAGGUCCCCCACAUUGGAACUGAGACACGGUCCAAACUCCUACGGGAGGCAGCAGUGAGGAAUAUUGGUCAAUGGGCGAGAGCCUGAACCAGCCAAGUAGCGUGCAGGAAGACGGCCCUAUGGGUUGUAAACUGCUUUUGUAUGGGGAUAAAGUCAAUCACGUGUGAUUGUUUGCAGGUACCAUACGAAUAAGGACCGGCUAAUUCCGUGCCAGCAGCCGCGGUAAUACGGAAGGUCCGGGCGUUAUCCGGAUUUAUUGGGUUUAAAGGGAGCGUAGGCUGGAGAUUAAGUGUGUUGUGAAAUGUAGACGCUCAACGUCUGACUUGCAGCGCAUACUGGUUUCCUUGAGUACGCACAACGUUGGCGGAAUUCGUCGUGUAGCGGUGAAAUGCUUAGAUAUGACGAAGAACUCCGAUUGCGAAGGCAGCUGACGGGAGCGCAACUGACGCUGAAGCUCGAAGGUGCGGGUAUCGAACAGG